GCCGGGCGGCGGUGAUACGAUGACGGCGGCGACAAGAGGAUGAAGUGCGGCACGUGCCUACGGGGAAAACGCACAUAGAACGAUGCGACGAGCCUCCCUGGCCAACGCAAGCUACAGGAGGGUGAUUCAUUGACCAGGAUGAAAUGAUUUGUGAAAUCACUAAAGGAGUUAAGGAUGCAGCCGGACAGGACGGAGACGCCGGCCGGCGGCCACGCCGCCGAGCGGCCAUGGUGAGCGAGUUCAAUGCAUAGAGUAAUCCAAUUGGCUAACUUCCAUAGCUUGCACUCCGGCAGUCCAGCUACCUUGCGUCGGUUUCUGCUCUCCUGCUGCCGAUCUGCCACACCCCACGUUGCAAGCAAGUCCUCAGUUGAAGAACACAUCAAUCGACGUCCUAGGCACCCAUGAUGCAUGUACCUAGCACAUGUGUUAUCAUGCAAUGUAUGCAUGAGAGGAAUAUUUAGCAACUUCCUUUGUACAUAUACAAUCAUCUUUUGUUUAUUAUACAGUAAAGAUUAACAA